ACACCCAGUCUUUGACAAUGAGGUCCUGCAUCUUUUUUGUCCUCUUGACUGUUGACUUUUGUCAUGGCAAGAGUCGGUCCAAAGUAAUUGUGAAAGGGACCACUAUGGGGCCAAACUUUACUCGCCGUGAAGGGGAGAUCAGUUUGCCUUGUCCAGAGGAGCACCCUUGGUCCUUUUUCAAUGGAACUAGGUGCUGCUCAAGCUACUACAAACCUGAACAGAACUCGCUCCAGUUUGAAGAUUCGGAAUGCUCUUCGAGUUGGAUUAAAUGCCCUGCAAUACUGCCCCGAAAAUGCGUCUCCUUGGUCCAACCAGUUACUUGUCCUGAAACUCAUCCAUUUGAUCUGGGAGUCGGAUGUUGUGCCACAGAACGAGUUCCUUUCGAUCUAGAUUUUGAUGAGCGAUGUUUUGGACAAGAGGUUGUGCCAUUCGUGACCCCAAUAAAAUGCUGCUUUCAGUUUUUGUCAAUACCGACAUGCAGUUCAAUGCGGCAAAGGUGCAAGACCAAUUGUAAGCUAUAUAACAUAUCUUGCACUUGUUACAUGAUGCACUUUAAAACAAACUCAAAUGUAAAAAUCUAGUAAAUAACACAAAUGCACAUGUGCGAAUCACUCUUAAAUGGAAAACGUAGAGAUCAAGUUCGAAGGUUUGGCACCAGGCUGAACUAGGGAGGAGAUGUCCCAACAAAUCGCAGAGAACUGCAGAUCCAUAAAACAAUACAAAAAGGGUACUAGAAAUGUCUCUCCAGUGUCUGGAAGUCAUUCCCCCAGCUUUGUGCGGCCACUUCACUGGCCUUGGCUAAGACCAGGCCAGGGGAGCUUCUUAGAAAUUGUGAUAUC